AUCUCCUCUGUGGCCUCCGUCUGCAAGUUCGCCGAUGACAUCCUCAUAAAAAAGAACAAUGUGUUACUACCAUGGGAGGCUCCCUGCUGGAUGUCGGCGCCGGAGGGGUAUCCCCGCAGCCAUAGACUUCUCUUCUCUCCUGCAAUGCAAGGUAUGGUACUCACACCAGUUCAAGUAGUGAUGUUGCAACAAGUACUGCUCCUCCCCCUGUCAAGCUUAGUGAGCCAAAAAAGAGCAUGUUGAUGGAUGAUUGCUAGCUCGCUUCAUCAUCGGCAGAUUUUCCCGUCUACUAACUUGUGGGUACUGCCGGAGAUAAGUAGUAGGCGGCAAAGUGUUUUGAAGUAGCACCAAGACGGGGCAUAAAGCUGGCGAGCAGGUAUGAGCAGCGAGCUGCUACUGCACUUGUGCGGGUACUUCCGCGAAUGAAUCUGGCUAGU